UAGGGAAUUUUGGACAAUGGGCGAAAGCCUGAUCCAGCAAUGCCGCGUGUGUGAAGAAGGCCUUCGGGUUGUAAAGCACUUUUGUCCGGAAAGAAAUCCUUGGCUCUAAUACAGUCGGGGGAUGACGGUACCGGAAGAAUAAGCACCGGCUAACUACGUGCCAGCAGCCGCGGUAAUACGUAGGGUGCAAGCGUUAAUCGGAAUUACUGGGCGUAAAGCGUGCGCAGGCGGUUUGCUAAGACCGAUGUGAAAUCCCCGGGCUCAACCUGGGAACUGCAUUGGUGACUGGCAGGCUAGAGUAUGGCAGAGGGGGGUAGAAUUCCACGUGUAGCAGUGAAAUGCGUAGAGAUGUGGAGGAAUACCGAUGGCGAAGGCGAGCCCCCUGGGCCAAUACUGGACGCUCAUGCACGAAAGCGUGGGGGAGCAAAACAGGAUUAGAUACCCCUGGGUAGUCCACGCCCUAAAACGAUGUCAACUAGUUGUUGGGGAUUCAUUUCCUUAGUAACGUAGCUAACGCGUGAAGUUGACCGCCUGGGGGAGUACGGUCGCAAGAUUAAAACUCAAAGAAAUUGACGGGGU
rnacentral:rRNA from 1 species